rnacentral:rRNA from 1 species
AUAUCAAUAAGCGGAGGAAAAGAAACCAACAGGGAUUGCCUCAGUAACGGCGAGUGAAGCGGCAACAGCUCAAAUUUGAAAUCUGGCCUCUUUGGGGUCCGAGUUGUAAUUUGUAGAGGAUGUUUCGGGUACCGCCUCGGUUUAAAUUUCUUGGAACAGAAUGUCAAAGAGGGUGAGAAUCCCGUCUUGGACCGGCGGUAGGGCCCAUGUGAAACUCCUUCGACGAGUCGAGUUGUUUGGGAAUGCAGCUCAAAAUGGGUGGUAAAUUUCAUCUAAAGCUAAAUAUUGGCCAGAGACCGAUAGCGCACAAGUAGAGUGAUCGAAAGAUGAAAAGCACUUUGAAAAGAGAGUUAAACAGUAUGUGAAAUUGUUGAAAGGGAAGCGCUUACAACCAGACUUGCGCGCGGCGGUUCCCCCUUCCUUUUGGUUGGGCUACUCCGUCGUGUCCAGGCCAACAUCGGUUCUGGGGGUCGGUUAAAGACCCUGGGAAUGUAUCUACCCUUCGGGCGUAGACUUAUAGCCCAGGGUGUCAUGCGGCCUCCCGGGACCGAGGAACGCGCUUCGGCUCGGAUGUUGGCGUAAUGGUUGUCAGCGACCCGUCUUGAAACACGGACCAAGGAGUCUAACAUCUAUGCGAGUGUUUGGGUGUCAAACCCGGAACGCGAAAUGAAAGUGAACGGAGGUAGGAAGCCUUGAGGCUGCACUAUCGACCGAUCCUGAUGUCUUCGGAUGGAUUUGAGUAAGAGCAUAGCUGUUGGGACCCGAAAGAUGGUGAACUAUGCCUGAAUAGGGUGAAGCCAGAGGAAACUCUGGUGGAGGCUCGCAGCGGUUCUGACGUGCAAAUCGAUCGUCAAAUUUGGGUAUAGGGGCGAAAGACUAAUCGAACCAUCUGGUAGCUGGUUCCUGCCGAAGUUUCCCUCAGGAUAGCAGUAACGUUUUCAGUUUUAUGAGGUAAAGCGAAUGAUUAGAGGCCUUGGGGUUGAAACAACCUUAACCUAUUCUCAAACUUUAAAUAUGUAAGAAGUCCUUGUUGCUUAAUUGAACGUGGACAUUUGAAUGUAUCGUUACUAGUGGGCCAUUUUUGGUAAGCAGAACUGGCGAUGCGGGAUGAACCGAACGUGAGGUUAAGGUGCCGGAAUGUACGCUCAUCAGACACCACAAAAGGUGUCAAUGCAUCCAGACAGCCGGACGGUGGCCAUGGAAGUCGGAAUCCGCUUAGGAGUGUGUAACAACUCACCGGCCGAAUGCAUUGGCCCUGAAAAUGGAUGGCGCUUAAGCGUGCUACCUAUACCUCGCCGUCAGGGUUGACAUGAUGCCCUGACGAGUAGGCAGGCGUGGAGGUCCGUGACGAAGCCUUGGGGGUGACCCUGGGUCGAACGACCUCUAGUGC